GGCUGCAGGGGGGCAGGAGGGUCCCCGGGAGCACAUCUCCAUCGUGGAGUGUGGGUGGGGGGGGUUGGGAGGUCCCUCUGUCCUCACCCCCGCGGGUUGGGUGUCACCUGGGGACACGGCUCAUGGGUGAAGUGGGAAUGAGGGACAAAGCCCAGCGUGAAGUCGGCAUGGGGGUUCUUGCUGGUCGUUAUGGUCCUGGAGACUCACUCCUGCUGGUCGUUACGGUCCUGGUCAGUCCGGUCCUGGAAGCUCCUGCUGGUCAUUACGGUCCUGGUCAUUAUGGCCCUGGAGGCUCUUUCAGGUCAUCAUGGUCUUGGGGGAUCCUGCUGGUCGUUACAAUCCUGGAGGUUCCUGCUGGUCAUUAUGGUCCCGGACAUCCCUACAGGUCAUUACAGUCCUGGUGACUCCUGCUGGUCAUUACAGUCCUGCUCAUUGUGGUUCUGGAGACUCCUAGCUGUUACAGUCCUGGUGACUCCUGCUGGUCAUUAUGGUCCCGGCAACUCCUGCCAGCCGUUAUGGUCCCGGUCGUUAUGGCUAUGGAGACACCCGCCGGUCGUUACGGUCCUGGUUGUUACUGUUAUGGACCCUCCUGCUGGUCGUUAUGGUCCUGGAGGUUCCUCCUGCUGGUCAUGGGUUCUGGAGGCUCUUUCUGGUCAUUACGGUCCUCGUUUGAGCACCACAUCAGCUCUGUGCCCACACGGGAGCAGGGCACGAGGAGGAGGAGGGUGGGAGGAAGAGCAGAGCAGCGCGGCUGUGGCCCCGGGGCAGGAAGCAGCCAGAACCCCCCCCAAAAAACAGACAGACAGACGAGAGCAGACGCCGACUUUCUUAAGUAAUAAUACUUUAAUAAAAUUAAGUUCUUAAUGUAAUUUUAGCACAUUUAAUACAUUAACCCUUUCCCUUCUUUGUUUUCUACAAGUUGUGCAACAUCAUUAUUUUAAUUUUUUUUUUUAAUUAUUAUUAUUAUUUUUUUUUCCUUCUCCCCUUAUACUAUAUGCCUCAAAACUCAGACAACGAGCCUACCUCUACUUCUACCUUCGGUUAUACCUCUCUCGGGCCCUUAUUUGUUUGCUUAACGCCAGAGAGAUGGGAAUACCUGGAUGGAGCGCGCGAUCAGUUUCCAAUAGUAACAAUCCCGACUACAGGCUUCCUAUGACGUUAAAAGAAAUGGUAAUUAAAAAAUAAAAUGAAAUAAAAUAAGGAAAACGCAACCUAAGGUAGCGAGGAAUGGGUUGUAAAUGGAGGGGCAGCACCGUGGGGCAGGAGGGCGCGCGAAGCCACCAGAGAGCGGAUGCACAGCGCCACGGGGUGGGCUCUGACCCUUCCGUGGUUGGGUUUUUGGGUUUAUUAUCCCCCUUUUUAAAUGACUCUUGAGCAGAGUUCAUAAGGAAAGAGGAAAAAGGAGUGCUGGUGGUCCCAUGGCCAAGAACUGCAAUCUCA
rnacentral:lncRNA from 1 species